ensembl:misc_RNA Metazoa_SRP Metazoan signal recognition particle RNA
GCUUUAUAGAGGUGCACCUGUAGUCACAGCUGCUACUUUGCAGGCUGAGACAGGAGGAUCGCUUGAGCCCAGGAGCUCUGGGCUAUAGUGCACUUUGCUCAUCUGGUGUCUACACUAAGUUUGGUAUCAGCAUGGUGACCUCUCAGGAGCAGAGGACGGCCAGGCUGCCUAAGGAGGGGUGAACUGGCCCAGGUCAGAAACAGAGCCUGUCAAAACUCAUGUGCUGAUCAGCAGUGGGAUCAUGCCUGUAAAUAGCCACUGCCCUCCAGCCUGAGCAACCUAGUGAGAAACCACAUCUCUC